rnacentral:rRNA from 1 species
UGCCAGCAGCCGCGGUAACACGGGGGGCGCAAGCGUUAUUCGGAAUUAUUGGGCGUAAAGGGCGCGUAGGCGGUCUUGUCAGUCAGGUGUGAAAGCCCGGGGCUCAACCCCGGACGUGCAUUUGAAACAGCAAGACUUGAGUACGGGAGAGGAGAGAGGAAUUCCUGGUGUAGAGGUGAAAUUCGUAGAUAUCAGGAGGAACACCGAUGGCGAAGGCAGCUUUCUGGACAGAUACUGACGCUGAGGCGCGAAAGCGUGGGGAGCAAACAGGAUUAGAUA